CUAACCUGCUAAAUAGUACAGUUGCAACAUUAUGUGGAUCUUCAAUUUGGUCGCUCUGUGACCGGUUGAAACCAUAUAAGCAGGUGAGACUUCUUAGAGGGACUGGCACUUCAUACAAAGUGCACGAGGGAGAGCAAUAACAGGUCUGUGAUGCCCUAAGAUGUCCGGGGCCGCACGCGUGCUACAAUGACGAUGCAAAUGAGCAUGAUUUGCUUGUCCGAAAGGAUCGGCAAACCUGUUCAAUCAUCGUCGUGACUGGGAUUGGGGUUUGCAAUUAUCCCCCAUGAACGAGGAAUUCCUAGUAAGCACAAGUCAUAAGCUUGUGCUGAUUACGUCCCUGCCCUUUGUACACACCGCCCGUCGCUACUACCGAUUGAAUGGUUUAGCAAGGUUAUUGGAUCUGAGCUGAGCGGUUCACGCUGCUCUGUUCGGAGAAGAUGACCGAACUUGAUCAUUUAGAGGAAGUAAAAGUCGUAACAAGGUUUCCGUAGGUGAACCUGCGGAAGGAUCAUUA
rnacentral:rRNA from 1 species